CAUGGCGUGAUAAUUAUAAUCAUAUUUAUAGUCUAAAAAGUUUUGUAUUAAUAGCUAAAUUUUGUUUUAUUAGUUUUUCUUACAAUGAGUGAUAAAGAAGUUUAUGAAUUGUUCGUGUCUUUGGUAUUUACAAGUGAUAUGUGAAAUGUGUAAAUAGUGACUCGCAGUGUAUUGAUUGUUUUCUUCGUGAUCAAAAUUCUGCCAUGAAGGAAGUUCAACAAAACAAUAUUGCUAACCGGGCGAGACUUCUGCUUAUGUCUCGAGACUGUAGUGUUUUGACCUACGAUUGUGAAGUAUCGGCUCAGUUCGUAGAGCAAGUUAUAACCUGUGUGAAUUAAAAGUGCCAAAUAAAGGAAAUAAAAUAUAUUUUAAAUUCAGUUUAAAGUGAAUCGUCGUGUGAAUAAAUAUAUAAAUUUUCCUCGAAAAAAAAUACAAGUCCAUGUUGCAAUAAAAUGCAAUUUAAAUUCAAUUUUUAAUUCUGUUAAAUUUAAAGCUUCGGGAGUGUUCGUACAUUAUUUAACGAUCGUUCGAUAACAGUUAUACCUAUAUUUAAUGUAAUUUCGGGAGUGAUCGAAAUUCUUAAAAUCGCGUGUGAGUGUUUAUUUCAUAAUUUGGAAAACAACGUUCGUGCUCUUAAUCAAAAUAAAGGGCAAGCAGAGGAAAAUGAAGUUCAAGCAAACUGGUACGGAGACGGAACACUAUUUGGAAAAAGCGCUCAUAAGAAUCAAUAUCCACAACCAAAAAUUGCGAUACACUUUUUUUCUCCAUUUGGAUCUAUAUAAACCGCGGCUGUCUAGUGUGAGCGAUUCCAGCGCUCCUGGCGGGAAAAGUGUUGCAACUCAGAAAAUUGACUCGGAAAAGCGUUACAGCCUUGUCGGGCGCUAUGCAGUUUCUCCUACGAAGGCCUCAUUAGAAAUCGGGAAAACUGCCUCUAUACAAGUGCAGCCACACUAAAAUCGUCUCUUGCAGCCCAUGAUGUUACAGUGCUACUACUAUGAAUCAUAAUUGAAGAUUUGAAGUACAUAGCUUCGGGAGUACUCGAUUCUUUUAUUUUAUAAACGAAGUCAUUUUUUAGUGUUGAAAUUAUGUUUUUUUAUAUUUUAGUAAAAUAUUUGUUUCGGGAGUGUUCGAAAUCUUUUAAAUCGCGAUCGCUUAAAUCAGUAAGAAAGUAUUUUGUUUCUAAAAUUAAAUGUAUAUUCGGGAGUGUUCAAAAUUUUUAAAAUCACGUGUGUGUUACAAGAAGAUAUUCUCAUCUGAAGAAGAAGAAGAAGAUACAUCCGCUGUUUUGCAGGUUAAGGUCGGAGAUACAUAUUUUUUUAUUCAAUAAUAAUUACACGGAAAGAAAAAGUGUUAAA